GGUCCCGUGUGGCUCAGUUGGUAGAGCAUUGUACUUGCAAUGCCAGGGUUAUGGGUUCAAUUCCCACAGGGGACCA